GAAAUCUUCGGUUUCCUCAACCUUUGCGCCCUUCUCUCCAUCUCCUCUUCUUUAGGGUUUUAGAGGGGGACGGCGGUGAGAGCGACAGAGAGAAGGGGAGAGUGCUACGAGCUUGGACCUCAAGAAGCCCUCUCAAGGCGCCAUUCUUGCUGCGUCGCUGCUCUCUUUCCCUUCUUACUCCAAGACGGCUCCUUGCGGCCUCGGCGGUGGAAAGCUGGGGAGAGUCGCGGGGGCCAUGGCGAUGGGGCUUUCCACCUGCGGCGGCGGUCUCAGGCCCUGCUCCCCCUCCCCCUCCUUCUGCUUCUCCUCCUCCCUCCGCCGCCCUGUCACGGGCUUGACGCGGCCGCCCCUCCGACCCGCCUUGGGUGUCGUCGGGCAGGAGUAUCAUUCAUUUCCAGAAUCGGAGGCUCACUGUUCUGAUAAUUGGACUUAUGGUUCCAUAAAACCUGUUGUACCUCCGGUUAGUAGUUCUGGUCCAGUUCUUACAAGGAGUGACAUGCACCAUGCUGAUGGCAAUCCUUAUGGCCCUAAAAACUUUUCUUCAGAUUUUGGAUUAUCUUCCAAUCAUGAAGUAAUGGGAAGGGCUUACAGUGCUAUGCAUGCAUCACGUGAUAUGUACUCCAAAUCUAAAUCUACUUGGAAUCGAGAGACAUGCAAAAUUAUGAGAGACAAACUUUGUCAAGGUAUUGCUCUUGGCCGUGUUUUAGCAUCAUCAGAAGACUUAGUAGACCUACAAGAUGAAACUGCUUCUAAGAGUGCGAAUGGCUUCAAAAAGGCAAUUUUUCCAACUUAUUCAUCCAUCAGGGGCAGUAUGCUUCCUUGUUCUGCUAUGGACAGCAAUAUUAAUACAAGUUUGAAGGAAAACCCUCUAAUGGAUACCCCUUGGCAUUCAAAGUCACUAAUGGCACAGGCUGUUGAGGAAGGGAUCCAGCCCAAUGGAUCACAGUUGUUGAAGCAUAUGGAUGAUGUCAAAGAGCCUCUUUCUGGUUUUGCUGGACUUAGAUCUGGCAAUGUAGGUGAAGCAGACAGAGAAACAUGCCAAAGUACUGAGCAUUUCGUUGAAACUUCUCUUGACCAAAGAAGUCAUCCCGAAAACCUUAUUGGGCCUAAGGGGGAAAACCAACAGAAGCUUGCUCAGAUAUAUGACAAAGUUGUUGUGGUUGAUAAUAUCUCAACAGCAAAAAAAGUAGUUCAAAUGCUUAUGACAAAAUACAGGAAUUUCAUCCAUGCGUGUGAUACAGAGGUGUCCAAGAUUGAUGUUAAACAGGAGACACCUGUUGGUCAUGGAGAGAUCAUAUGCUUUAGUAUUUAUUCUGGUCCAGAAGCAGAUUUUGGUUAUGGGAAAUCUUGUAUUUGGGUGGAUGUGCUUGACGGUGGUCGAAAUGUUCUGAUGGAAUUUGCUCCAUUCUUUGAAGACCCAUCCAUUAAGAAGGUUUGGCAUAAUUAUAGCUUUGAUAGUCAUGUUAUAGAGAACUACGGGAUCAAGCUUUCUGGGUUCCAUGCAGAUACCAUGCAUCUUGCACGGCUAUGGGAUUCUUCAAGAAGAGCUGACGGUGGGUAUUCUCUUGAAUCACUUACUGGUGAUUCAAGGGUCAUGUCCAGGAAACAGUCAUCUUGUGACAAGGAAUUGGUUGUUGGGAAGAUAUCAAUGAAGUCCAUAUUUGGUAAGAAAAAGGUGAAAAAAGAUGGCUCUGAAGGCAAGCUUAUCACUGUUGCUCCUGUUGAAAUUCUUCAAAGAGAAGAACGAGUACCAUGGAUUUGCUAUUCUGCUUUAGAUUCAAUAAGUACUUUGAAACUUUAUGAUAGCUUGAAGGAAAAGCUUGGGAAAAUGGGUUGGAUUCUUGAUGGUGUUAAUAGAGGAUCAAUGUAUGAUUUCUAUGAAGAAUACUGGCGUCCAUUUGGUGUUCUUUUAGUCAAAAUGGAGUCUGAUGGAAUGCUUGUUGAUCGAGCUUAUCUUUCGGAGAUUCAAAAAGUUGCUAUUGCUGAACAACAAGUAGUGGCAGACAAAUUUCGGAAGUGGGCAUCUAAGUAUUGUCCUGAUGCUAAGUACAUGAACAUUGGCAGUGAUGCCCAAAUCCGCCAGCUUUUUUUUGGCGGUACUCUAAAUAGAAAGGAUCAAAAUGAAACACUGCCUUUAUCAAAGACCUUUAAAGUACCUAAUACUGAAAAUGUGAUUGAAGAGGGCAAGAAGUCUCCUUCUAAAUAUCGGACUAUUAAAUUAGACAGUCUUGGUGUACAAAUGCCAACUGAGAUGUAUACGGCUAGUGGGUGGCCUUCGGUUUGCGGUGAUGCUCUGAAAAUUUUUGCUGGAAAGGUCUCCACUGAUGAAAUAUAUCUAAUUGAUGAAUAUGAAAAUCAGUCUGAUAGCACAAGUUCUGAUGGCAAAGACACAUCCUUUUAUGGAUCUGCUUAUGAAGCAUUUAAUGGAGGCAAGGAGGGGAGGGAGGCUUGUCAUGCAAUUGCAGCCCUUUGCGAAGUUUGCUCUAUUGAUUCCUUGAUAUCCAAUUUCAUUCUUCCCUUACAGGGGAGUCAUAUAUCAUGUAAAAAUGGGCGCGUUCACUGUUCUCUAAACAUCAAUACUGAAACUGGACGUUUAUCAGCCAGGAGACCAAACUUGCAGAAUCAACCAGCAUUAGAGAAGGAUCGGUACAAAAUUCGGCAGGCUUUUAUUGCUGAACCCGGACACACUCUUAUUGUUGCUGAUUAUGGGCAGCUGGAGCUUAGGAUCUUAGCACAUCUUGCAAACUGUAAAAGCAUGCUGGAUGCCUUCAAAGCUGGUGGAGAUUUCCAUUCUAGGACAGCUGUGAAUAUGUAUGCCCAUAUCCGUAAAGCUGUUGAAGAAAAGAGAGUACUUCUUGAGUGGCAUCCUCAACCUGGUGAAGAGAAACCUCCAGUUCCACUUUUAAAGGAUGCUUUUGCUGCUGAAAGAAGGAAAGCUAAGAUGCUUAAUUUCUCUAUUGCUUAUGGAAAAACUCCUGUAGGGCUCUCUCGGGAUUGGAAGGUCUCUACCAAAGAAGCAAAAAAAACGGUUAAACUUUGGUACGAUGAUAGAAAAGAAGUUCUCCGGUGGCAAGAAGAAUGCAAAAGACAAGCAUGGGAACAUGGGUGUGUUUAUACUUUGCUAGGACGGAGACGCUGUUUUCCUCCAAUGACUCAUGCCAGUCAUGGUCAGAAGGGUCACAUGGAGAGAGCUGCAAUCAAUACUCCAGUACAGGGUAGCGCAGCAGAUGUUGCUAUGUGUGCAAUGCUUGAGAUAGACAGGAAUACUCGUCUGAAAGAGCUUGGAUGGAGACUAUUAUUGCAGGUUUGUGAGCGACUCCUGCUUCAGUUACCACUUGCCAUGUUCUGAUAACUCAUCCCAAAAUGUUUUUGCAACCACAAAGAAGAAAGCCUUAUUACUGGUCAAAUUUUAACUUGUGGGCUUGUUUUCUCAAUAUCUCAGGUGCAUGAUGAAGUGAUACUGGAAGGACCUACAGAGUCAGCUGAGCUUGCCAAGGCUAUAGUCACCGAAUGCAUGUCCAAACCCUUUUAUGGCACCAACUUCCUCCAGGUUGACCUUUCUGUUGAUGCCAAGUGUGCACAGAAUUGGUAUGCGGCCAAGUAAGGUGUCAUUAAUUAGACCCAGAGUUUUGCUUGUAAAGCCAACAAGAAGGGUGUCAGAUCCACCUUGGUUCAUAGGCAAGAUAGCUACAAUGUAUUAUGUGAUGGAAAUUUUGGUCAAUCGGACAUGCACCAAAUUUUUGGUCGGUAUGGGCAUGGUAUGUGGCCAUGAGGAGCUUGAUCGGUCAUAUUCACACGUUCUCAUAUGUGUAUUAACAUGAGUAAAAGCUGUUCAGAUGGCUGUCCAUUGUAUAUUAGGUGGUGGCUAUAGUAAUGCUGUCUCCUUUUCACAUUUGUUCCCCAGUUCUAUUCAAAAAUGCCUAUAUGGAGAGGAAAUACUGGUGUGUACUGAACUGGAGAAUAGGGAGGGUGUCCUUGUUUAGUUCUAGACUAAAUAAUGGUUGUCCUGAUUUGUUCCUUUGAUUGUUCUAACUCGUGAUUUUGUAUGAUCAUCAUUGAGUUGAAUGGAGAUACUCAAACUCCUAUUGUACAUAAUAUUCUUCUGAGAAAAAUGGAUUCUUCUUGUAUUUCAGAUGUA